rnacentral:rRNA from 1 species
CGUAAGAAGCGUACACUGACUUAUCUCGAACCUUCGCGGGAACGUUAACGGCGUCGAGCGGCGGACGGGUGAGUAAUGCCUAGGAAAUUGCCCUGAUGUGGGGGAUAACCAUUGGAAACGAUGGCUAAUACCGCAUGAUGCCUUUCGGGCCAAAGAGGGGGACCUUCGGGCCUCUCCGCGUCAGGAUAUGCCUAGGUGCGGAUUAGCUAGUUGGUGAGGUAAGGGCUCACCAAGGCGACGAUCCCUAGCUGGUCUGAGAGGAUGAUCAGCCACACUGGAACUGAGACACGGUCCAGACUCCUACGGGAGGCAGCAGUGGGGAAUAUUGCACAAUGGGCGCAAGCCUGAUGCAGCCAUGCCGCGUGUAUGAAGAAGGCCUUCGGGUUGUAAAGUACUUUCAGCCGUGAGGAAGGUUUCGUAGUUAAUAACUGCGUUGCUUGACGUUAGCUGCAGAAGAAGCACCGGCUAACUCCGUGCCAGCAGCCGCGGUAAUACGGAGGGUGCGAGCGUUAAUCGGAAUUACUGGGCGUAAAGCGCAUGCAGGUGGUUCGUUAAGUCAGAUGUGAAAGCCCGGGGCUCAACCUCGGAAUUGCAUUUGAAACUGGCGGACUAGAGUACUGUAGAGGGGGGUAGAAUUUCAGGUGUAGCGGUGAAAUGCGUAGAGAUCUGAAGGAAUACCAGUGGCGAAGGCGGCCCCCUGGACAGAUACUGACACUCAGAUGCGAAAGCGUGGGGAGCAAACAGGAUUAGAUACCCUGGUAGUCCACGCCGUAAACGAUGUCUACUUGGAGGUUGUGGCCUUGAGCCGUGGCUUUCGGAGCUAACGCGUUAAGUAGACCGCCUGGGGAGUACGGUCGCAAGAUUAAAACUCAAAUGAAUUGACGGGGGCCCGCACAAGCGGUGGAGCAUGUGGUUUAAUUCGAUGCAACGCGAAGAACCUUACCUACUCUUGACAUCCAGAGAACUUUCCAGAGAUGGAUUGGUGCCUUCGGGAACUCUGAGACAGGUGCUGCAUGGCUGUCGUCAGCUCGUGUUGUGAAAUGUUGGGUUAAGUCCCGCAACGAGCGCAACCCUUAUCCUUGUUUGCCAGCGAGUAAUGUCGGGAACUCCAGGGAGACUGCCGGUGAUAAACCGGAGGAAGGUGGGGACGACGUCAAGUCAUCAUGGCCCUUACGAGUAGGGCUAACACACGUGCUACAAUGGCGCAAUACAGGAGGGCCUGCCAACCAGCGAAAGUGAGCGAAUCCCAAAAAGUGCGUCGUAGUCCGGAUUGGAGUCUGCAACUCGACUCCAUGAAGUCGGAAUCGCUAGUAAUCGUGGAUCAGAAUGCCACUGUGAAUACGUACUCAGGG